rnacentral:lncRNA from 1 species
GUGCCAAUAUGUCAUCUCCACUCAUCACACAAGAUGACCCAUACAUCUAUGAUUUUCCAUUGAAAAAUCGAUUCUGAUGGGUUCUUCAAGAAUGAUUAGAUGGUAAAAAUCGAUAAUGACACAUAUAGGCAAUUUUCCUUCCAUGCUUCAGUCUAAUAGAGCAGCUAUCACUAUUGCAAAUUGGAUAUGCCAAAUAUCUUUUUGUGCUCCAUCU